AGCGAACGCUGGCGGCAGGCCUAACACAUGCAAGUCGAACGAAGUCUUCGGACUUAGUGGCGGACGGGUGAGUAACACGUGGGAACGUGCCUUUAGGUUCGGAAUAACUCAGGGAAACUUGUGCUAAUACCGAAUGUGCCCUUCGGGGGAAAGAUAUAUCGCCUUUAGAGCGGCCCGCGUCUGAUUAGCUAGUUGGUGAGGUAAAGGCUCACCAAGGCGACGAUCAGUAGCUGGUCUGAGAGGAUGAUCAGCCACAUUGGGACUGAGACACGGCCCAAACUCCUACGGGAGGCAGCAGGGGGGAAUCUUGCGCAAUGGGCGAAAGCCUGACGCAGCCAUGCCGCGUGAAUGAUGAAGGUCUUAGGAUUGUAAAAUUCUUUCACCGGGGACGAUAAUGACGGUACCCGGAGAAGAAGCCCCGGCUAACUUCGUGCCAGCAGCCGCAGUAA
rnacentral:rRNA from 1 species